rnacentral:rRNA from 1 species
AUUGAACGCUGGCGGCAGGCUUAACACAUGCAAGUCGAGCGGGGGAGGUUGCUUCGGUAACUGACCUAGCGGCGGACGGGUGAGUAAUACUUAGGAAUCUGCCUAUUAAUGGGGGACAACAUCUCGAAAGGGAUGCUAAUACCGCAUACGCCCUACGGGGGAAAGCAGGGGAUCACUUGUGACCUUGCGUUAAUAGAUGAGCCUAAGUCGGAUUAGCUAGUCGGUGGGGUAAAGGCCUACCAAGGCGACGAUCUGUAGCGGGUCUGAGAGGAUGAUCCGCCACACUGGGACUGAGACACGGCCCAGACUCCUACGGGAGGCAGCAGUGGGGAAUAUUGGACAAUGGGGGGAACCCUGAUCCAGCCAUGCCGCGUGUGUGAAGAAGGCCUUAUGGUUGUAAAGCACUUUAAGCGAGGAGGAGGCUCUUUUGGUUAAUACCCAAGAUGAGUGGACGUUACUCGCAGAAUAAGCACCGGCUAACUCUGUGCCAGCCGCCGCGGUAACAC